ACGUAGGUGGCAAGCGUUGUUCGGAAUUAUUGGGCGUAAAGCGCACGUAGGCGGCUUUGUAAGUCUCACUGUGAAAGCCCGGGGCUCAACCCCGGGACUGCAGGGGAUACUGCGAGGCUUGAGUCAAGUAGAGGUUGGUAGAAUUCCGGGUGUAGCGGUGGAAUGCGUAGAGAUCCGGAGGAAUACCAGAGGCGAAGGCGGCCAACUGGACUUGUACUGACGCUGAGGUGCGAAAGCGUGGGGAGCGAACAGGA
rnacentral:rRNA from 1 species